ensembl:lincRNA
AGGUGGCUAUAAGAUUUCUAGCACUAUCAAAAAUAUCUUACAUUGGAACAGUGGCUUCAGUCUUAGAAGUCUUCCUGUUCUCCUCUACUAUUUUGGAUUUGGAUGACAAAGUUUGGUACUGCAGAGGGCUUCCCAGGUGGCUCAGUGGUAAAGAAUCUGCCGGUAAUGGAGGAGACAUGAGUUCAAUCCCUCAGUCAUGGAGAUUCCCUGGAGAAGGAAAUAGUAACCCACUCCAGUAUCCUUGGCUGGUGAACCUGUAAAUCUUGCCUGGGUAAGUCUGCAGUGUUUAUGUUUCUGGAGUUUGUGGCAUGGAUUUGAAGCCCU